UACGAGGGGGGCGAGCGUUGUUCGGAAUUACUGGGCGUAAAGGGCGCGUAGGCGGCCGAUCAAGUCAGGCGUGAAAUUCCCGGGCUCAACCUGGGGGCUGCGCUUGAUACUGAUUGGCUUGAAUGCGGGAGAGGAUAGUGGAAUUCCCAGUGUAGAGGUGAAAUUCGUAGAUAUUGGGAAGAACACCGGUGGCGAAGGCGGCUAUCUGGCCCGUAAUUGACGCUGAGGCGCGAAAGCGUGGGGAGCAAACAGG
rnacentral:rRNA from 1 species